AAGUCAGUUGUGAAAGUUUGCGGCUCAACCGUAAAAUUGCAGUUGAAACUGGGUAGCUUGAGUCGGCGAGAAGUACGCGGAAUGCGCGGUGUAGCGGUGAAAUGCAUAGAUAUCGCGCAGAACUCCGAUUGCGAAGGCAGCGUACCGGCGCCGCACUGACGCUGAGGCACGAAAGCGUGGGUAUCGAACAG
rnacentral:rRNA from 1 species